rnacentral:rRNA from 1 species
CACGAAUGGCGUAAUGAUGGCCAGGCUGUCUCCACCCGAGACUCAGUGAAAUUGAACUCGCUGUGAAGAUGCAGUGUACCCGCGGCAAGACGGAAAGACCCCGUGAACCUUUACUAUAGCUUGACACUGAACAUUGAGCCUUGAUGUGUAGGAUAGGUGGGAGGCUUUGAAGUGUGGACGCCAGUCUGCAUGGAGCCGACCUUGAAAUACCACCCUUUAAUGUUUGAUGUUCUAACGUGGACCCGUGAUCCGGGUUGCGGACAGUGUCUGGUGGGUAGUUUGACUGGGGCGGUCUCCUCCUAAAGAGUAACGGAGGAGCACGAAGGUUGGCUAAUCCUGGUCGGACAUCAGGAGGUUAGUGCAAUGGCAUAAGCCAGCUUGACUGCGAGCGUGACGGCGCGAGCAGGUGCGAAAGCAGGUCAUAGUGAUCCGGUGGUUCUGAAUGGAAGGGCCAUCGCUCAACGGAUAAAAGGUACUCCGGGGAUAACAGGCUGAUACCGCCCAAGAGUUCAUAUCGACGGCGGUGUUUGGCACCUCGAUGUCGGCUCAUCACAUCCUGGGGCUGAAGUAGGUCCCAAGGGUAUGGCUGUUCGCCAUUUAAAGUGGUACGCGAGCUGGGUUUAGAACGUCGUGAGACAGUUCGGUCCCUAUCUGCCGUGGGCGCUGGAGAACUGAGGGGGGCUGCUCCUAGUACGAGAGGACCGGAGUGGACGCAUCACUGGUGUUCGGGUUGUCAUGCCAAUGGCACU